GCAGUUGCCCAUACUGACCAAUCAGCAUCUGUUUCUUUUAAAUUUUUACCUUGUUAAAACAUAGAUAUGAUUUGUUGCUAUGGUUAAAACUUACAAUACAUACAAUUCAGUCCAUAUAUUAGUAAAUUAGUACCACUGUGUCACUUUGUGAUAUGCAGACAGAAGGGCUCAUUUAUAACUGUAAUUUGGGGCUGAGCAAAAAUGGGCGCAGUUGUUGCACAAACUAAAGCCAUUUAUUAGAGGUAAUAGUAUUUUCUUGUCUUUUAACCAGGAAUUGCAAAUGGAAGCUGAGGUGAGCAGCUCCAAGGUAAGCAGAAAGGGAAACUUUUCCAAACUUUGCAGUGUUUUGUGCUGUAAACUAUUUGUGAUUUUUUUUCUGCCUCAACCAGCAGGAAGAUCUAUAAUUAAAUUAACAGGUUUGUUUUAUCACAUUCUCUACUGAAAUCAGAUGAUCUUCUAAAAUUAUGUUUUUUAUAUUAACUAGGGAACCUUGGAGGUCUGUGAUGAACCUCAGCAGGAGACUUGCGAGGAGAGACCUCAGGAGUGUGGCGAUUACACCUGCCCGCCUGAGCUCUCUGAGCAAGAGGAUCCUCAGCCCAUCGAGGAGGAUCCGACAGCCUGUAAUGAGGCUGAAGCACCAACUAUGAGGCAGGAGAGCAUGGACACCAGCCCCUGCCACCCUCAGCAGGAGACUUGCGAGGAGAGACCUCAGGAGUGUGGCGAUUACACCUGCCUGCCUGAGCUCUCUGAGCAAGAGGAUCCUCAGCCCAUCGAGGAGGAUCCGACAGCCUGUAAUGAGGCUGAAGAACCAAUUAUGACGCAGGAGAGCACGAACACCAGCCCCUGCCACCCUCAGCAGGAGACUUGCGAGGUAACCAGCAAGGAAUUGUAUUAUGUAUUAACUGUUUUUUCAGAAUAACAAUUAAACCCUUUUAAACCUAUUUGUGCCCCUGCACAGGACCCCUAUCCAAAUACAUCACCCAAACUCCCAUUUAGGCCCCAUUCCCCUGACAAAUACUUACUAGGAUGGUUGGUCACCAUGUUUUACCUCUGUUACAUCCUCUCAGAUCCUCCACAGAUCCCAUUGCCCUUCUAGAACAUUCCCACUGAAACCCAAGGCCCUAGUCAGUUUCACUGUACAUAAAUCUGUGCAAUGAUCAGAGCAGUGAGGGUUUUAACAGAAAGGCCACAACCGAACAUAACAACCAUUCACCCCGCUAUGUAGCUCUGAUCUCUUUCAUUUUGGGGGAAACGUAGGAGUCUGGGUCUUGCAGUUCUGCUUUAAUCUAAUUGGUUCCGCUCAUCUAACAACCAUUUUUUCCCCCCUAAAUAGGAGAGACCUCAGGAGUGUGGCAAUUACACCUGCCCGCCUGAGCUCGUUGAGCAAGAGGAUCCUCAGCCCAUCGAGGAGGAUCCAACAGCCUGUAAUGAGGCUGAAGAACCAGCAAUGGGGCAGGAGAGCAUGGACACCAGCCCCUGCCACUUCCAGGUAAGCAGAAAAUAACAAAUGAAUGAAAAAUAUUUAUUUUAUCAUAUUCUCUUGUGAACUGAGCUGAUCUUAUAAAAUAAUAUUUUCUGUCUUAACCAGAACAUCAUGGAAGAAACAGACCCUCACCCCGACACCUGUGAGGUAACUAGCAAAGAGUUGUAUAG